UACGGGGGGAGCAAGCGUUGUUCGGAUUUACUGGGCGUAAAGGGCGUGUAGGCGGCCACCGCAAGUCAGUUGUGAAAUCUCUGGGCUUAACCCAGAAAGGUCAACUGAUACUGCGGGGCUAGAGUGCAGAAGGGGCAACUGGAAUUCUCGGUGUAGCGGUGAAAUGCGUAGAUAUCGAGAGGAACACCUGCGGCGAAGGCGGGUUGCUGGGCUGACACUGACGCUGAACUGCGAAAGCUAGGGGAGCGAACGGG
rnacentral:rRNA from 1 species